UCUAACCCAGUGUUAACCUAUGCUAGCCUAGUGCUAGCCUGAUGCUACCCAGUGCUAGCCUGAUGCUAGCCUGAUGCUAGUUAGCCUGAUGCUAAUUAGCCUGAUGCUAGCCUGAUGCUAGUUAGCCUGAUGCUAAUUAGCCUGAUGCU